CCUACCCUGCCCCCCAUAUAGAUUAUCAGAACAGCUAAAACCAAAGUGGCGUCAAAAGGAUGACAAGAGUUGACUAUCAUCACCUCUAAUCGACUUUGAGCUGAUUCAAAUUUUAAUGAUGUUCAUGAUCGCUAUCGCGCGGCAUAUCCAGUCAACUCUUGUUCUCGUUUAACUGGGGCAUGAAAGUUGAGAAAACUCUCAUGCAAACUCUCGCUUCUGAACUCUCAUGCAAACUCUAGCUUCUCAACUCUCAUAAACUCUCAUGCAAACUCUCGCUUCUCAACUCCCAUCAACUCUCGUGUAAACUCUCGCUUCUCAACUCUCAUCAACUCUCGCUUCCUAACUCUCAUGCAAACUCUCGCUUCUAAACUCUCAUGCAAGCUCUCGCUUCUUAACUCUCAUGCAAACUCUCGCUUCUCAACUCUCAUCAACUCUCAUGCAAACUCUCGCUUCUCAACUCCCAUCAACUCUCAUGCAAACUCUCGCUUCUCAACUCUCAGUCAUCAACUCUCGCUUCCUAACUCUCAUGCAAACUCUCGCUUCUAAACUCUCAUGCAAGCUCUCGCUUCUUAACUCUCAUGCAAACUCUCGCUUCUCAACUCUCAUCAACUCUCGCUUCCUAACUCUCAUGCAAACUCUCGCUUCUAAACUCUCAUGCAAGCUCUCGCUUCUUAACUCUC